rnacentral:rRNA from 1 species
UGGGGAAUUUUGCACAAUGGGGGAAACCCUGAUGCAGCGACGCCGCGUGAUUUAGAAGGCCUUCGGGUUGUAAAAAUCUUUUCUAUGGGAAGAAAAUGACAGUACCAUAGGAAUAAGGACCGGCUAAUUACGUGCCAGCAGCCGCGGUAAUACGUAAGGUCCGAGCGUUGUCCGGAAUCAUUGGGCGUAAAGGGUACGUAGGCGGGUAAGCAAGUUAGAAGUGAAAUCCUAUAGCUCAACUAUAGUAAGCUUUUAAAACUGCUCAUCUUGGGGUAUGGAAGGGAAAGUGGAAUUCAUAGUGUAGCGGUGAAAUGCGCAGAGAUUAGGAGGAGUACCGGUGGCGAAGGCGACUUUCUGGCCAUAACCUGACGCUGAGGUACGAAAGCGUGGGUAGCAAACAGG